rnacentral:lncRNA from 1 species
CGCCGGAGUCCCCGGGACCGAGGAGGCUCGCGCGGGCGGGAGGCUGCCGCCUCGUCCCACAUGGGCGCGUGGGAGGUGGGAAUCUCAGGUUGAGUUACUCAUCGUGCCGGAGUCGGGAGAGUGCGGAACCAGUGAUUUUGAUGGCAGGAGAAAAUAUGAAGAAGCCCUGGAGCCCUGACUUACCAGCUUCUAAUCACUCGUACAAUUUGGCUUUCGCAUCCAUCCCAGACAGAGAUAGUGAGAAAGAAUUAACAACUGGUAGCAGUGAAGAAAAGAAGGAGAGAGAAAAGAAGCAGACCAAUUUCACUUUGUGCAAUGUUUGUAACAUUCAGCUGAACUCUGCUGCUCAGGCACAAAUCCACUACAACGGCAAAUCCCAUCAGAAGAGGUUAAAACAGCUCAGCAAUGGAAAUCUCAAAAGUGAUAAUGGUAAGCAUUCAUCUCUCUCUAUAUAUAUUUUUGGCCUUGUGUAAGCUGUGUAUGUUUGUGCGUUUUGUUUAUAUGAGGCAUGUGGACAGU